rnacentral:rRNA from 1 species
UAAUAUCGGAUAACGCAUAUGUGAUGGAAUGCUUUAUGCGUAAAACGGAUCCGUUUGCCCAAGGAUGGGUCUGCGGCCUAUCAGGUAGUAGUGGGUGUAAUGUACGUACUAGCCAACCACGGGUACGGGUUGUGAGAGCAAGAGCCCGGAGAUGGAUUGUGAGACAUGAAUGCAGGCCGUACGGGGCGCAGCAGGCGCGAAAACUUUACAAUCCGGGAAACCGUGAUAAGGGAACACCGAGUGCCAGCAUCAUAUGCUGGCUGUCCAGAUGUGUAAACUACAUUUGUUAGCAAGGGCCGGGCAAGACCGGUGCCAGCCGCCGCGGUAACACCGGCGGCCCGAGUGGUGACCGUUAUUAUUGGGUCUAAAGGGUCCGUAGCCGGUUUGGUCAGUCUUCCGGGAAAUCUGAUAGCUUAACUGUUAGGCUUUCGGGGGAUACUGCCAGUCUUGGAACCGGGAGAGGUAAGAGGUACUACAGGGGUAGGAGUGAAAUCCUUGUAAUCCCUGUGAGACCACCUGUGGCGAAGGCGUCUUACCAGAACGGGUUCGACGGUGAGGGACGAAAGCUGGGGGCACGAACCGGAUUAGAUACCCGGGUAGUCCCAGCCGUAAACUAUGCUCGUUAGGUGU